GGGGAUGACGGGCAUCGACAUAAAAGCAGCUUUGAAGAUUGCAAUUGGCAACUAUGCCUUAAAUAGCCAAAUAAGUGAUGAACAAUCACAAGAGGAAGCUGCGGCUAAUAGAGAAUAUUUCUCUAACGCCAACUUUGCUUAUGCAACCGCGUAAGUAAUUAAGCUUCUUGUCCGACAUUAAGUCGGACCAUCAAUCUAAUCAGACGCCGAUAGAUUAGAAUUGGUGUUAACCCUCGGCUUUGGUAUUCCAGGGAAGAGAUCAACCGAAGAAUAUCGAGACAAAAAAAGAUCUCAAAACCUUCCGCCUUUGGCGGAAUAAACUUGCUACAAAAUCUUUGAAGAACGCUUUUGUGCACCCCGGUUCAACUCCGGGCAUCUCCACCA
rnacentral:tmRNA from 5 species